rnacentral:rRNA from 1 species
UACGUAGGGUGCGAGCGUUGUCCGGAAUCACUGGGCGUAAAGGGCGCGUAGGCGGCCUGUUAAGUCGGGGGUGAAAUCCCGAGGCUCAACCUCGGAAUUGCCUUCGAUACUGGCAGUCUUUGAGUCCGGGAGAGGAGAGUGGAACUCCUAGUGUAGAGGUGAAAUUCGUAGAUAUUAGGAAGAACACCAGUGGCGAAGGCGGCUCACUGGCCCGGUACUGACGCUGUGACGCGAAAGCGUGGGGAGCAAACAGG